GACGAACGCUGGCGGUGUGCUUCACACAUGCAAGUCGAACGAGGUAGCAAUACCUAGUGGCGGACGGGUGAGUAACGCGUGGGAAUCUGCCUUUAGAUGGGGGAUAACGGGUCGAAAGACUCGCUAAUACCGCAUAUGACGAAAGUUGAAAGGAGUAAUCCGUCUAAAGAUGAGCCCGCGUCCGAUUAGCUAGUUGGUAGAGUAAAAGCCUACCAAGGCGACGAUCGGUAGCUGGUCUGAGAGGAUGAUCAGCCACAAUGGGACUGAGACACGGCCCAUACUCCUACGGAGGCAGCAGUGGGGAAUUUUAUGCAAUGGGCGAAAGCCUGACGUAGCGACACCGCGUGAGCGAAGAAGCCCCUUGGGGUGUAAAAGCUCUGUCAGCUGGAACGAAAAAAUGACGGUACCAGCAGAGGAAGCAUCGGCUAACUACGUGCCAGCAGCCGCGGUAAU
rnacentral:rRNA from 1 species